rnacentral:rRNA from 1 species
GGCGAAAUUGUAGUGCAAGUGAAGAUGCUUGCUACCCGCGAUUGGACGGAAAGACCCCGUAGAGCUUUACUGUAGCUUAGCAUUGAAUCUCGGUAUUGUCUGUACAGGAUAGGUGGGAGACUUGGAAACUUGGGCGUCAGCCUGAGUGGAGUCAUCCUUGGGAUACCACCCUGACAGUACUGGGGUUCUAACCGGCGGCCAUGAAUCUGGUCACGGGACAUUGUUAGGUGGGCAGU